rnacentral:rRNA from 1 species
UGGGGAAUAUUGCACAAUGGGGGAAACCCUGAUGCAGCGACGCCGCGUGAACGAAGAAGUAUUUCGGUAUGUAAAGUUCUAUCAGCAGGGAAGAUAAUGACGGUACCUGACUAAGAAGCAUCGGCUAAUUCCGUGCCAGCAGCCGCGGUAAUACGGAAGAUGCGAGCGUUAUCCGGAUUUAUUGGGUUUAAAGGGAGCGUAGGCGGACUAUCAAGUCAGUUGUGAAGUCAUCGGCUCAACCGCUGAAUUGCAGUUGAAACUGGUAGUCUUGAGUGCACAUGAGGAUGGUGGAAUUCGUAGUGUAGCGGUGAAA